rnacentral:lncRNA from 1 species
CCUCGCUAUGUCACCCAGGCUGGAGUGCAGUGGCACAAUCUCGGCUCACUGCAAGAUCCACCUCCCGGAUUCACACCAUUCUCGUGCCUCGGCCUCCUGAGUAACUGGGACUACAGGCGCCCACCACCAUGCCCAGCUGGGGAAGGGCUUUGGGAGGCCAAGGUGGGAGGAUUGCUUGAGUCCAGGAGUUUGAGACGAGCCUGGGCAACAUAGCAAGACCUCAUCUCUACAAAAAAUUUAAAAAUUAGCUAGACAUGGUGACAUGUGCCCCUAGCCUUAGCUAGUUGGGAAGCUGAGACAGGAGGAUACCUUGAGCUCAGGAGUUCAAAGUUACAGUGGGCUAUGAUCACGCUGCUACACUGCAGCCUGGGUAACACGAUGAGACUGUAUCUCUAAAAAAAAAAAAAAAUGGCCGGGCAGGUGGCUCACGUCUAUAAUCCCAGCACUUUGGGAGGUUGAGGCAGGUGGAUCAUCUGAUGUCAGGAGUUCAAGACCAACCUGGCCAAAAAGGAAAAACCCUGUCUCUACUAAAAAUACAAAAAAAUUAGCCGGGUGUGGUGGUGCAUGCCGGUAAUCCCAGCUACUUGGGAGGCUGAGGUGGGAGAAUUGCUUGAACCCAGGAGGCAGAGGUUGCAGUGAGCCAAGUUCGGGCCAUUGCACUCCAUCCUGGGAAACAGAGCAAGAGGCCAUCUCAAAAAAAAAAAAAAAAAGGCAAAGAAUUUGAACAGACAUUUGUACAAAGAAAAUAUGUCAAUGGCCAAUAAGCACAUGAAAAGAUGUUCAACAUCAUUCAUCAUUGGUUAUUAGAGAAAUGCAAAUCAAAACCACAAUGAGAUGCCACUUCACACCACUGACUUCUGGGGAAGGAAGAGGGUAUAGGACAUUGAGUUCAACCAAUGAUUGAUACCCAGCCAACAGCCAAUGAUUCAAUCAAUCAUGCUUACAUAAUGAAGCCCCAGUAAAAACUCUGGACAGGCUGGGCAUGGUGGCUCAUGCCUGUAACUCCAGCACUUUGGGAGGCCGAGGGGGGCAGAUCACGAGGUCAGGAGAUUGAGAC